GCUGUCCCCAGUGGAGGAGAAGGGAUUUUGGGCCUUUCCUUCGUGGUGCUCUUCCUCCUGAGUUCUCGAGUGGUUCCCAUCUUCUCCUCCACACCCUGCCGUGUGCCCCAGGCCUGCCACUGCUGCUGUGCUGUGUCCCCUGAGCUGGGGCCCUCGGCUGCCGGUGUCUGCUGGAAGCCAAGGCUGGGAGAACAGGAGCAUCUGCUGUGAGCCAUGGCCUCGCCAGAGGACACACAAGAGGGGGAUGCAAAGGCCCAGCUCCUGGAAGAGGCAUUUCAGGAGGAAGGACUGGAUGCUGGAUACUGGCUGCCCAAAGUGUCCCAGAUCCUGGGAAUCAAGUGUAGAGAAGCCCUGCAACAUGUGGAAUAUAAAGAUUGCCUCAAGCUGGAGUGUGAGGUACGG